UACGUAGGGGGCAAGCGUUGUCCGGAAUCAUUGGGCGCAAAGAGCGUGUAGGCGGCCAGAUAAGUCCGCUGUGAAAUCUCGAGGCUCAACUUCGAGCUGUCGGUGGAAACUGUCUGGCUAGAGUCCGGAAGAGGAGAAUGGAAUUCCUGGUGUAGCGGUGAAAUGCGCAGAUAUCAGGAAGAACACCCGUGGCGAAGGCGGUUCUCUGGGACGGUACUGACGCUGAGACGCGAAAGCGUGGGGAGCGAACAGG
rnacentral:rRNA from 1 species